rnacentral:tRNA from 1 species
GGAGGCGUGGCCGAGCGGUUUAAGGCACCGGUCUUGAAAACCGGCAAGGGGCAACCCUUCGUGAGUUCGAAUCUCACCGCCUCCGCCA